rnacentral:misc_RNA from 1 species
AAAAUGCGAUAAGUAAUGUGAAUUGCAGAAUUCAGUGAAUCAUCGAAUCUUUGAACGCACAUUGCGCCCGCCAGUACUCUGGCGGGCAUGCCUGUCUGAGCGUCAUUUCAACCCUCAGAACCCCUUGCGGGAUCUGGCGUUGGGGAUUGGCAUCCAGCCAGCCCCGAAAUCUAGUGGCGGUCCCUCCGCGACCUCCCCUGUGCAGUAGCGAUACCUCGCAGCGGGACAGCGGUCUGACCACCCCGUAAAACCCCCAACUUCUCAAGGUUGACCUCGAAUCAGGUAGGAAUACCCGCUGAACUUAAGC